UACGGAGGGUGCAAGCGUUAUCCGGAUUUACUGGGUUUAAAGGGUGCGUAGGUGGGUCUGUAAGUCAGUGGUGAAAUCUCCGAGCUUAACUCGGAAACUGCCAUUGAUACUAUAGAUCUUGAAUUAUCUGGAGGUGAGCGGAAUAUGUCAUGUAGCGGUGAAAUGCUUAGAUAUCGGAAGGAACACCUGUGGCGAAAGCGGCUCACUGGACCAUUACUGACGCUGAGGCACGAAAGCUAGGGGAGCAAACAGG
rnacentral:rRNA from 1 species